CCUACGGGUGGCAGCAGUGAGGAAUAUUGGACAAUGGACGAGAGUCUGAACCAGCCAAGUAGCGUGAAGGAUGACUGCCCUAUGGGUUGUAAACUUCUUUUAUAAAGGAAUAAAACGAGGCACGUGUGCCUUUUUGCAUGUACUUUAUGAAUAAGGAUCGGCUAACUCCGUGCCAGCAGCCGCGGUAAUACGGAGGGUCCGAGCGUUAUCCGGAUUUAUUGGGUUUAAAGGGAGCGUAGAUGGGUUGUUAAGUCAGUUGUGAAAGUUUGCGGCUCAACCGUAAAAUUGCAAUUGAUACUGGCAGUCGUGAGUACAGUUGAGGUAGGCGGAAUGCGUGGUGUAGCGGUGAAAUGCUUAGAUAUCACGAAGAACCCCGAUGGCGAAGGCAGCUUACUAAACUGUGACUGACAUUGAUGCUCGAAAGUGUGGGUAUCAAACAGGAUUAGAUACCCCGGUAGUC
rnacentral:rRNA from 1 species